CUUCUGCACACAGCGUGAGGUGUUGGCGCAGCUGUUUCUCACCAAGACCUCUGGUCUGAAGGGUCACGUGCAAGGCCUCUGCGUACGGCACUGUAUGAGCAAGCAUCAAGACUAGCACCACGGAAGAAAAAGAUCCAUGACGUGGGAAUUGCCUGACCUGCAUCAGAAACUUCCAGCUCAAUGCCUAGGAAUGAUGUGACCACUGAAAAGACAAACAACAUGCUGAGCCUGAGGUUUCUGUGGGAUGUCCAAGUGGAAAUGG